rnacentral:rRNA from 1 species
CAGUUCGAACGCCCCGCAGGGGAGUGGCAGACGGGUGAGUAACGCGUGGGAACGUGCCCUUCGCUUCGGAAUAGUCCCGGGAAACUGGGUUUAAUACCGAAUACGCCGAAUUGGGAAAGAUUUAUCGGCGAAGGAUCGGCCCGCGUUAGAUUAGCUAGUUGGCGGUGUAAUGGACCACCAAGGCGACGAUCUAUAGCUGGUCUGAGAGGAUGAUCAGCCACACUGGGACUGAGACACGGCCCAGACUCCUACGGGAGGCAGCAGUGGGGAAUCUUGGACAAUGGGCGCAAGCCUGAUCCAGCCAUGCCGCGUGAGUGAAGAAGGCCUUAGGGUUGUAAAACUCUUUCGCCGGAGAAGAUAAUGACGGUAUCCGGAGAAGAAGCCCCGGCUAACUUCGUGCCAGCAGCCGCGGUAAUACGAAGGGGGCUAGCGUUGUUCGGAAUUACUGGGCGUAAAGCGUACGUAGGCGGAUUUGUAAGUAGGGGGUGAAAUCCCCAGGCUCAACCUGGGA